rnacentral:rRNA from 1 species
UCCGGAGAGGGAGCCUGAGAAACGGCUACCACAUCCAAGGAAGGCAGCAGGCGCGCAAAUUACCCAAUCCCGACACGGGGAGGUAGUGACAAUAAAUAACAAUACGGGGCUCUUUCGGGUCUCGUAAUUGGAAUGAGUACAAUUUAAAUCCCUUAACGAGGAACAAUUGGAGGGCAAGUCUGGUGCCAGCAGCCGCGGUAAUUCCAGCUCCAAUAGCGUAUAUUAAAGUUGUUGCAGUUAAAAAGCUCGUAGUUGAAUUUCGGGAUUGACACAUCGGUCGUGCCUUAAGGGGUAUGAACUGGUGUAGUCAAUUUCUCACCUUCUGGAGAACCGCGAUGCCCUUAAUUGGGUGUCACGGGGAACCAGGACCUUUACUUUGAAAAAAUUAGAGUGUUUAAAGCAGGCAUUUUGCUUGAAUACAUUAGCAUGGAAUAAUAAAAUAGGACGGCAUGAUUCUAUUUUGUUGGUUUCUAGGAUCACCGUAAUGAUUAAUAGGGAUAGUUGGGGGCAUUAGUAUUCAAUUGUCAGAGGUGAAAUUCUUGGAUUUAUUGAAGACUAACUACUGCGAAAGCAUUUGCCAAGGAUGUUUUCAUUAAUCAAGAACGAAAGUUAGGGGAUCGAAGACGAUCAGAUACCGUCGUAGUCUUAACCAUAAACUAUGCCGACUAGGAAUCAGACGAUGUUAAUUUUUUAAUGACUCGUUUGGCACCU